UACGGGGGGGGCAAGCGUUGUUCGGAAUUACUGGGCGUAAAGGGCUCGUAGGCGGCCAACUAAGUCGGAUGUGAAAUCCCCAGGCUUAACCUGGGAACUGCAUCCGAUACUGGAUGGCUUGAAUCCGGGAGAGGGAUGCGGAAUUCCAGGUGUAGCGGUGAAAUGCGUAGAUAUCUGGAGGAACACCGGUGGCGAAGGCGGCCUGCUGGGCAGUAGCUGACGCUGAGGCGCGACAGCGUGGGGAGCAAACAGG
rnacentral:rRNA from 1 species